UCGGAGUGUAGUGCAGUUUGGUAGCACAUAUCAUUUGGGAUGAUAAGGUCGCAGGUUCAAAUCCUGUCUCUCCGAACC
rnacentral:tRNA from 1 species